CAAACUGUUUGCAAACAAACAUGUUUGCUAUGGGAAAGAUAAGAGAGUCACGUGAGGCUACUUGAGAGAGAAAGACAAAGAGUAUGGCAGACAGUGGAUUUGGUCAGGUCAAAGUUCGCAAUAUUGGUGAAUACGCGGUAAAAAACUUUCGAUUCUCCUCUCUCUUCAAUUCGAUUGGUCGAUUUGCCACCAAAUAUCGGGCGACCUAUGUGAACUGUAAGAAUGCCCGAAUGACGCCAUUCUUCCAUGUGGUGGGCGUUGCCAUGGCGCUCAACUAUCUCAUUGACUACAAGUAUCACUUGAAGCACGAGAAACUACGCAAGUACCACUGAACCCAACGACCCCACUGUGUAGUGUCUAGUAUUUGUGGCAACCAGAGUCAUUGUUCAUAGUCUGUUGUUAAUAAAUUGUUGAUUGUGUCGAAAAUAAUGAUUUGCAUAUGAAAACAGCAUAAAAUUAAUUGUGAUUGA